ensembl:lncRNA
GCAUUGUUGCCAUGCCAAUUCCUAUAAAAUUCAUCUAGUGUUCCUGUAAUUGUCAUUCUUCCCUUUAUGUACCAAACUUUUAACAUAUUCUGAUGUUCAGGCAUUUCAACUGUUCAGAUGGGAAUGUCUCAGCACUUUGACCAUCCGAAUCCUGUGAGGGAGAUGGAGUUCAGUUAUCAUGACAAAGCAACGGAGAACAAACAGGUUAAAUAAAGUGUAUUCACUUACUCAGAGGAAAAAUGCAAAAUACAAAUUUCUUUUCAUGAUCAAUAUUCUACUUUCUCCCUUUAUCUCUCCCUCAGAUCAUAAUUUGUAAUGUUUGUAAGACCAUCCUUAGAAAAGUGAUAGCAUUUAUUGGAAAAACAGCUUCUAAGGAGGAGAUUAAUCAGAAGCUUGAUAGAAUCUGUAAAAAAAUAAGAAUAAGUGGUUGUCAAAGUUUUUUGCAGAAAUAUAAAAAUAAAGUGGUCAAUAGUCUGAUCUCUGGAGACAAAGCAGGGACCAUCUGUAUCAAAUUAAAACUGUGCAAAAAGAUGGACAUGCAAACUAUACAGUAAUGUGAAUGCUUCAAGUAUAGAAUUGCAUUGUCAUUUAUGUUAUAAUUUGUUACACAUGACAAUAAAAUUAAAGCUCAAUAAUAAUCA